CAUAGGUGUGGUCUGUUUUUUAACUACGCUCCUUCAAAAUCCCUUUCUUCCCCCACCCAAGAUUUUAACACACUGCAGGCCGCCGCUUGCACACCUCUACAAUGGUUUUGUAAACAGAUAUCUUGGUCCGUCCUUCCGUCCGUUAGUCCGUCCAUCAAAUUGAAAACCAAGAUCACAAGAUUCACUUGAAAUACUUGAAAAACAUGCAACCGCCAUUUGUCAUUACUCACUGUGAUUUAAGAUGUUCUAAAGGUGGGAUGGUGGGAGCUGUGAUGGUCGUUGUUGGUGUCGGUCGCUCGCUGUUCAGUGAGGCCAAAUUAAUAUGCAACACCGAUAUGAAUCAUGGAAAACAUACCAGUAGUCAGCAGCCAAGCAGCAAUCAGCCAUCUAGCCAACCAGUCAGCCAAAUGGCCAAUCUUAAAAGUUCUCAAGGAAGUCACAUCAUAAACGAGAAUUAUUUGUAAUCUCUCAUAGAAUUUUUAAAUAAAUGUUUCUUUCUAAGUAUUAA
rnacentral:sRNA from 1 species